GACGAACGCUGGCGGCGUGCUUAACACAUGCAAGUCGAGCGGAAAGGCCCUUCGGGGUACUCGAGCGGCGAACGGGUGAGUAACACGUGAGUAACCUGCCCUGGACUUUGGGAUAACCCUCGGAAACGGGGGCGUAAUACCGGAUACGACUUUUCCUUCGCAUGAGGUUUGGUUGGGAAAGUUUUUACGGUUCGUGGGAGUGGGCGUCGCGGCCUAUCAGCUUGUUGGUGGGGUGAUGGCCUACCAAGGCGACGACGGGUAGCCGGCCUGAGAGGG
rnacentral:rRNA from 1 species